AUUGUAGCAAUACAAGGCAUACGGCUCAUUAACGCGUAGUCAACCUACCCUAUGGACGGGAAUAACCUCGGGAAACUGAGUAUAAUGCCCGAUAGAACACUAUACCUGGAAUGGUUUGUGUUUCAAAUGAUUUAUUGCCGUAGGAUGGGACUGCGGCCUAUCAGUUUGUUGGUGAGGUAAUGGCCCACCAAGACUAUUACAGGUACGGGCUCUGAGAGGAGUGGCCCGGAGAUGGGUACUGAGACACGGACCCAGGCCCUAUGGGGCGCAGCAGGCGAGAAAACUUUGCAAUGUGCGAAAGCACGACAAGGUUAAUCCGAGUGGUUUCUGCUAAAGGAACCUUUUGACAGUCCUAGAAACACUGUUGAAUAAGGGGUGGGCAAGUUCUGGUGUCAGCCGCCGCGGUAAAACCAGCACCUCAAGUGGUCAGGAUGAUUAUUGGGCCUAAAGCAUCCGUAGCCGGCUCAGUAAGUUUUCGGUUAAAUCUGUACGCUCAACGUACAGGCUGCCGGGAAUACUGCAGAGCUAGGGAGUGGGAGAGGUAGACGGUACUCGGGAGGAAGUGGUAAAAUGCUUUGAUCUUUCGAUGACCACCUGUGGCGAAGGCGGUCUACCAGAACACGUCCGACGGUGAGGGAUGAAAGCUGGGGGAGCAAACCGGAUUAGAUACCCGGGUAGUCCCAGCUGUAA
rnacentral:rRNA from 1 species